AACGAACGCUGGCGGCAUGCCUAACACAUGCAAGUCGAACGAGACCUUCGGGUCUAGCGGCGCACGGGUGCGUAACGCGUGGGAACCUGCCCUUAGGUUCGGAAUAACUCCCCGAAAGGGGUGCUAAUACCGGAUAAUGUCUUCGGACCAAAGAUUUAUCGCCUUUGGAUGGGCCCGCGUUGGAUUAGCUAGUUGGUAGGGUAAAAGCCUACCAAGGCGACGAUCCAUAGCUGGUCUGAGAGGAUGAUCAGCCACACUGGGACUGAGACACGGCCCAGACUCCUACGGGAGGCAGCAGUGGGGAAUAUUGGACAAUGGGCGAAAGCCUGAUCCAGCAAUGCCGCGUGAGUGAUGAAGGCAUUAGGGUUGUAAAGCUCUUUUACCCGGGAUGAUAAUGACAGUACCGGGAGAAUAAGCUCCGGCUAACUCCGUG
rnacentral:rRNA from 1 species